AACGAACGCUGGCGGCAUGCCUAACACAUGCAAGUCGAACGAGACCUUCGGGUCUAGUGGCGCACGGGUGCGUAACGCGUGGGAACCUGCCCUUAGGUUCGGAAUAACUCCCCGAAAGGGGUGCUAAUACCGGAUAAUGUCUUCGGACCAAAGAUUUAUCGCCUUUGGAUGGGCCCGCGUUGGAUUAGCUAGUUGGUAGGGUAAAAGCCUACCAAGGCGACGAUCCAUAGCUGGUCUGAGAGGAUGAUCAGCCACACUGGGACUGAGACACGGCCCAGACUCAUACGGGAGGCAGAAGUGGGGAAUAGUGGACAAUGGGCGAAAGCCUGAUCCAGCAAUGCCGCGUGAGUGAUGAAGGCCUUAGGGUUGUAAAGCUCUUUUACCCGGGAAGAUAAUGACAGUACCGGGAGAAUAAGCUAAGGCUAACUCCGUG
rnacentral:rRNA from 1 species